rnacentral:rRNA from 1 species
UUGAACGCUGGCGGCAGGCCUAACACAUGCAAGUCGAGCGGAUGAAGGGAGCUUGCUCCUGGAUUCAGCGGCGGACGGGUGAGUAAUGCCUAGGAAUCUGCCUGGUAGUGGGGGAUAACGUCCGGAAACGGGCGCUAAUACCGCAUACGUCCUGAGGGAGAAAGUGGGGGAUCUUCGGACCUCACGCUAUCAGAUGAGCCUAGGUCGGAUUAGCUAGUUGGUGGGGUAAAGGCCUACCAAGGCGACGAUCCGUAACUGGUCUGAGAGGAUGAUCAGUCACACUGGAACUGAGACACGGUCCAGACUCCUACGGGAGGCAGCAGUGGGGAAUAUUGGACAAUGGGCGAAAGCCUGAUCCAGCCAUGCCGCGUGUGUGAAGAAGGUCUUCGGAUUGUAAAGCACUUUAAGUUGGGAGGAAGGGCAGUAAGUUAAUACCUUGCUGUUUUGACGUUACCAACAGAAUAAGCACCAGCUAACUUCGUG